rnacentral:rRNA from 2 species
AGAUUAAGUUAUUAAGGGCGCACGGUGGAUGCCUUGGCACUAGAAGCCGAUGAAGGACGUUACUAACGACGAUAUGCUUUGGGUAGCUGUAAGUAAGCGUUGAUCCAGAGAUUUCCGAAUGGGGGAACCCAACAUGAGUUAUGUCAUGUUAUCGACAUGUGAAUUCAUAGCAUGUCAGAAGGCAGACCCGGAGAACUGAAACAUCUUAGUACCCGGAGGAAGAGAAAGAAAAAUCGAUUCCCUGAGUAGCGGCGAGCGAAACGGGAAGAGCCCAAACCAACAAGCUUGCUUGUUGGGGUUGUAGGACACUCUAUACGGAGUUACAAAAGAACAUGUUAGACGAAUCAUCUGGAAAGAUGAAUCAAAGAAGGUAAUAAUCCUGUAGUCGAAAACAUAUUCUCUCUUGAGUGGAUCCUGAGUACGACGGAGCACGUGAAAUUCCGUCGGAAUCUGGGAGGACCAUCUCCUAAGGCUAAAUACUCUCUAGUGACCGAUAGUGAACCAGUACCGUGAGGGAAAGGUGAAAAGUACCCCGGAAGGGGAGUGAAAGAGAACUUGAAACCGUGUGCUUACAAGUAGUCAGAGCCCGUUAAUGGGUGAUGGCGUGCCUUUUGUAGAAUGAACCGGCGAGUUACGAUCUGAUGCAAGGUUAAGCAGCAAAUGUGGAGCCGCAGCGAAAGCGAGUCUGAAUAGGGCGUUGAGUAUUUGGUCGUAGACCCGAAACCAGGUGAUCUACCCUUGGUCAGGUUGAAGUUCAGGUAACACUGAAUGGAGGACCGAACCGACUUACGUUGAAAAGUGAGCGGAUGAACUGAGGGUAGCGGAGAAAUUCCAAUCGAACUUGGAGAUAGCUGGUUCUCUCCGAAAUAGCUUUAGGGCUAGCCUCAAGUGAUGAUUAUUGGAGGUAGAGCACUGUUUGGACGAGGGGCCCCUCUCGGGUUACCGAAUUCAGACAAACUCCGAAUGCCAAUUAAUUUAACUUGGGAGUCAGAACAUGGGUGAUAAGGUCCGUGUUCGAAAGGGAAACAGCCCAGACCACCAGCUAAGGUCCCAAAAUAUAUGUUAAGUGGAAAAGGAUGUGGCGUUGCCCAGACAACUAGGAUGUUGGCUUAGAAGCAGCCAUCAUUUAAAGAGUGCGUAAUAGCUCACUAGUCGAGUGACACUGCGCCGAAAAUGUACCGGGGCUAAACAUAUUACCGAAGCUGUGGAUUGUCCUUUGGACAAUGGUAGGAGAGCGUUCUAAGGGCGUCGAAGCAUGAUCGCAAGGACAUGUGGAGCGCUUAGAAGUGAGAAUGCCGGUGUGAGUAGCGAAAGACGGGUGAGAAUCCCGUCCACCGAUUGACUAAGGUUUCCAGAGGAAGGCUCGUCCGCUCUGGGUUAGUCGGGUCCUAAGCUGAGGCCGACAGGCGUAGGCGAUGGAUAACAGGUUGAUAUUCCUGUACCACCUAGUAUCGUUUUAAUCGAUGGGGGGACGCAGUAGGAUAGGCGAAGCGUGCUGUUGGAGUGCACGUCCAAGCAGUAAGGCUGAGUGUUAGGCAAAUCCGGCACUCAUAAGGCUGAGCUGUGAUGGGGAGAGGAAAUUGUUUCCUCGAGUCGUUGAUUUCACACUGCCGAGAAAAGCCUCUAGAUAGAUAACAGGUGCCCGUACCGCAAACCGACACAGGUAGUCAAGAUGAGAAUUCUAAGGUGAGCGAGCGAACUCUCGUUAAGGAACUCGGCAAAAUGACCCCGUAACUUCGGGAGAAGGGGUGCUCUUUAGGGUUCACGCCCAGAAGAGCCGCAGUGAAUAGGCCCAAGCGACUGUUUAUCAAAAACACAGGUCUCUGCUAAACCGUAAGGUGAUGUAUAGGGGCUGACGCCUGCCCGGUGCUGGAAGGUUAAGAGGAGUGGUUAGCUUCUGCGAAGCUACGAAUCGAAGCCCCAGUAAACGGCGGCCGUAACUAUAACGGUCCUAAGGUAGCGAAAUUCCUUGUCGGGUAAGUUCCGACCCGCACGAAAGGCGUAACGAUUUGGGCACUGUCUCAACGAGAGACUCGGUGAAAUCAUAGUACCUGUGAAGAUGCAGGUUACCCGCGACAGGACGGAAAGACCCCGUGGAGCUUUACUGUAGCCUGAUAUUGAAAUUCGGCACAGCUUGUACAGGAUAGGUAGGAGCCUUUGAAACGUGAGCGCUAGCUUACGUGGAGGCGUUGGUGGGAUACUACCCUAGCUGUGUUGGCUUUCUAACCCGCACCACUUAUCGUGGUGGGAGACAGUGUCAGGCGGGCAGUUUGACUGGGGCGGUCGCCUCCUAAAAGGUAACGGAGGCGCUCAAAGGUUCCCUCAGAAUGGUUGGAAAUCAUUCAUAGAGUGUAAAGGCAUAAGGGAGCUUGACUGCGAGACCUACAAGUCGAGCAGGGUCGAAAGACGGACUUAGUGAUCCGGUGGUUCCGCAUGGAAGGGCCAUCGCUCAACGGAUAAAAGCUACCCCGGGGAUAACAGGCUUAUCUCCCCCAAGAGUUCACAUCGACGGGGAGGUUUGGCACCUCGAUGUCGGCUCAUCGCAUCCUGGGGCUGUAGUCGGUCCCAAGGGUUGGGCUGUUCGCCCAUUAAAGCGGUACGCGAGCUGGGUUCAGAACGUCGUGAGACAGUUCGGUCCCUAUCCGUCGUGGGCGUAGGAAAUUUGAGAGGAGCUGUCCUUAGUACGAGAGGACCGGGAUGGACAUACCUCUGGUGUACCAGUUGUCGUGCCAACGGCAUAGCUGGGUAGCUAUGUAUGGACGGGAUAAGUGCUGAAAGCAUCUAAGCAUGAAGCCCCCCUCAAGAUGAGAUUUCCCAACUUCGGUUAUAAGAUCCCUCGAAGAUGACGAGGUUAAUAGGUUCGAGGUGGAAGCGUGGUGACACGUGGAGCUGACGAAUACUAAUCGAUCGAAGACUUAAUCAAUUUUUAAA